rnacentral:rRNA from 1 species
UGGGGAAUAUUGCACAAUGGAGGGAACUCUGAUGCAGCGACGCCGCGUGAGUGAUGAAGGACUUCGUUUCGUAAAACUCUGUUCUAUGGGAAGAAAAGGACUGUACCAUAGGAGAAAGCUCCGGCUAAAUACGUGCCAGCAGCCGCGGUAAUACGUAUGGAGCGAGCGUUGUCCGGAAUUAUUGGGCGUAAAGGGUGCGCAGGCGGCUUUACAAGUUGGAUGUGAAAUAUUGUGGCUCAACCACAAACGUGCAUCCAAAACUGCAAAGCUUGAGUUAAGGAGAAGUAAGUGGAAUUCCUGGUGUAGCGGUGGAAUGCGUAGAUAUCAGGAGGAAUACCGGUGGCGAAGGCAACUUACUGGACUUAAACUGACGCUCAGGCACGAAAGCGUGGGGAGCAAACAGG